GAAACAUCUUAGUACCCGGAGGAAGAGAAAGAAAAUUCGAUUCCCUUAGUAGCGGCGAGCGAAACGGGAAGAGCCCAAACCAACAAGCUUGCUUGUUGGGGUUGUAGGACACUCUAUACGGAGUUACAAAGGACGACAUUAGACGAAUCAUCUGGAAAGAUGAAUCAAAGAAGGUAAUAAUCCUGUAGUCGAAAAUGUUGUCUCUCUUGAGUGGAUCCUGAGUACGACGGAGCACGUGAAAUUCCGUCGGAAUCUGGGAGGACCAUCUCCUAAGGCUAAAUACUCUCUAGUGACCGAUAGUGAACCAGUACCGUGAGGGAAAGGUGAAAAGCACCCCGGAAGGGGAGUGAAAUAGAACCUGAAACCGUGUGCUUACAAGUAGUCAGAGCCCGUUAAUGGGUGAUGGCGUGCCUUUUGUAGAAUGAACCGGCGAGUUACGAUUUGAUGCAAGGUUAAGCAGUAAAUGUGGAGCCGUAGCGAAAGCGAGUCUGAAUAGGGCGUUUAGUAUUUGGUCGUAGACCCGAAACCAGGUGAUCUACCCUUGGUCAGGUUGAAGUUCAGGUAACACUGAAUGGAGGACCGAACCGACUUACGUUGAAAAGUGAGCGGAUGAACUGAGGGUAGCGGAGAAAUUCCAAUCGAACCUGGAGAUAGCUGGUUCUCUCCGAAAUAGCUUUAGGGCUAGC
rnacentral:rRNA from 1 species